CUUUACUGUAGCUUGGAAUUGGGUUCGGGCUUUGCUUGCGCAGGAUAGGUGGGAGACGUUGAAGUAUUCCUUGUGGGGGAUACUGAGUCAUCGGUGAGAUACCACUCUGGCAAGGCUAGAAUUCUAACUCUCUGCCGUUAUCCGGCGAGGGAACAGUUUCAGGUGGGCAGUUUGACUGGGGCGGUCGCCUCCUAAAAAAUAACGGAGGCGCGCAAAGGUUCCCUCAGGCUGGUCGGAAAUCAGCCGUAGAGUGCAAAAGCAUAAGGGAGCUUGACUGCAAGACCUACAAGUCGAGCAGGUACGAAAGUAGGCUUUAGUGAUCCGACGGUACUGCGUGGAAAGGCCGUCGCUCAACGGAUAAAAGUUA
rnacentral:rRNA from 1 species